UGGGCGCAUACGGAUGGUCUUCAAAACGUUUAUGGAGAAUCUGUAUUAUGAACAGGAAUGCAUAAAUGCUCAUUCUUCUGCGCCAAAGAUGUGCCUUAUUCGCUCUGAGUGGGACUGACAGAGCUGACAAGCUGGGAGCCGCAUCUGAUUUGCCUCUGAGGGACCGUCUCCCCCAUCAUGAAGCCAUGAAAAUUCCUCCAGUUCUGCCAGGGGUUCUUGCCCUCUUCAAAAAUAAGAAUUCAAAGCAGAGGCAUAAUGCAGUCCACAACCAAAGGCAGAGCCUAUCUGAAAUAGAG